GCUGUUCCGUGUGAUCCAGAAUCCUCCAGAAGUGAAUAUUCUGGAACCAGAAGUAAUUCAGGAUGUUCCAGACAUGAUCUGACUCCAAGGAUGGAUGGUCUGGGAUCAAAAUGGGUUUAUUCUGUGUUCCCUGGAAUCUUCUCUUCCUCAAAUGAGGAUUUGUACUUCCCCAACAGUGAAACUUUAACUGACCACCUUGGAUGGGACUUAGAUUCCAGUAGUUAGAGCUCAAUAAUACGCAGAAUCACUUUGAUUAGUACUAUCCAUAAAGAGGCAGAGAAAUUACCUACCCAGAAAGUGUGCUUAAAGAGUGACUGUGUUACAUCUGUCUGGUGGGAAAACCUUCAUGUUUUCAUAAACAGGAGAUAAUUGGUGACAACUUCAAAGAAUUGGACUGACAAGGAGAAGAAUGAGAUCCAUGGUAAACCAACAGAAAGGACCAACUAUAGGAAGUCUCUUGAUCCUCUGGCUUUCUGGUUCAAGGACGAUGGCCUUGGCAAACAUCCUUUCGUGUCUGUGGCCUGUAGAAAGAGGUAGUCGGUUACGGCAUGGGUCUAAUCCAAAAUGUGAAGAGCAGGAAAUGGCAGUUUUCACCUCACUAGUAAAAUAUAGUGAAGCCGAGUUGGAGGAAAGUUGCUUCAACAUAUUAAACUUAUUGUAGAAUCAGA